rnacentral:rRNA from 1 species
GACGAACGCUGGCGGCGCGCCUAACACAUGCAAGUCGAACGAGCGAGAGAGAGCUUGCUUUCUCGAGCGAGCGGCGAACGGGUGAGUAACGCGUGAGGAACCUGCCUCAAAGAGGGGGACAACAGUUGGAAACGACUGCUAAUACCGCAUAAGCGCACAGUGCCGCAUGGCAGUGUGUGAAAAACUCCGGUGGUAUGAGAUGGAUCCGCGUCUGAUUAGCCAGUCGGCGGGGUAACGGCCCACCAAGGCAACGAUCGGUAGCCGGACUGAGAGGUUGAACGGCCACAUUGGGACUGAGACACGGCCCAG